AGAUAGAUCGAUUCUCCUGCUCCUUUCUUUAUCCUCAUCGACACAAAUUGGGAGAGAGGCACUCUACUUCUCCUCCCUUCGUCUCUGAGAAUCAUCAUCAGAAAUACGAGAGGAGCUUUGGUAAAAGGUGAAGAAUCCGGAUUGAAAUUUGCGUGAGGGGAGGACUAAGCAUUUACUACCUCACAGAUCUAAGUUUGGUAGAUUACAAACUUGUGAAGUUCUUGCCUUCUAUGAUAGCUGCAUCGGCUGUAUUUCUAGCGAGAGUUAUUAUUACUACAUCAAAAAUGAAUCCUUGGUGUCCAGCACUGCAAGAAUAUACUGGUUAUAAGGUAGUGGAUUUGAGAGAAUGUGUUCUUAUCAUUCGCGACUUGUUUUUGGGUAGACGUGGUGGAUCUUUGGUAGCUGUACGAGAUAAAUACAAACAGACUAAGGUUUUUCAUGAAGACAUCGUCAUAACUAAUCUCACAGUAUAGAGAAUUUAUGAUCUGCAAGGAAAGUUAGAAACACAUCAAUGUUAAAAGCUGUAUACUUUUAGGUGUAUGAUCUGCAACGAAAAUUAUAGUUGCAAUUCGAUCUGUUUGUGGAUAACGAAACUAAAUCGAAAUGUAGUUUACAAGCUAGCUACUUUAUCUUAUUGCAAUCCGUAUAAACCAUUGUUUUUUUAUCUAGGCUGUUGGCACUAAUAGAACCAAGCCAAAUCCUAAAGGUGAAAAACCCAUAAGCAUUGAUAUAGAGAACAUCUGAGAAAUAUAUGAGCUGAAGACACAAAUGCAACUUCUAAAAGUUCCUCACAAGAUGGCCAGACAAAGAGGGACUCAGAUUACUCUUCAAAUGAGAAUUGGCGCCAUGAUGAGCCAUUAUCUGUAUCUGCCAUCCUAUUACCAAUUAAUCAUUUUGAAUUGGUAAGCCUAUAGGAGAUAGAAAUGUGCCUGCGUUUAUCCAGUGGAUGAUUUUGUACUGAAUUAUUAUAGGAUUACCUGGAUAGGAGAUUGUUGAUUGCUAUGUAUAAGUAGGGUUUAAUUUUAUGUGUUG